AGUCGAGCGAACGGACGAGAAGCUUGCUUCUCUGAUGUUAGCGGCGGACGGGUGAGUAACACGUGGAUAACCUACCUAUAAGACUGGGAUAACUUCGGGAAACCGGAGCUAAUACCGGAUAAUAUUUUGAACCGCAUGGUUCAAAAGUGAAAGACGGUCUUGCUGUCACUUAUAGAUGGAUCCGCGCUGCAUUAGCUAGUUGGUAAGGUAACGGCUUACCAAGGCAACGAUGCAUAGCCGACCUGAGAGGGUGAUCGGCCACACUGGAACUGAGACACGGUCCAGACUCCUACGGGAGGCAGCAGU
rnacentral:rRNA from 1 species